rnacentral:rRNA from 1 species
UGCCAGACUCCUACGGGAGGCAGCAGUGGGGGAUAUUGCACAGUGGGGGGAACCCUGAUGCAGCGACGCCGCGUGGGUGAAGGAGCGUUUCGGCGCGUAAAGCCCUAUCGGCAGGGAAGAAGGAGGACGGUACCUGACUAAGAAGCCCCGGCUAACUACGUGCCAGCAGCCGCGGUAAUACGUAGGGGGCAAGCGUUAUCCGGAUUUACUGGGUGUAAAGGGGGCGCAGACGGCAGCGCAAGCCAGGAGUGAAAGCCCGGGGCCCAGCCCCGGGACUGCUCUUGGAACUGCGCGGCUGGAGUGCAGGAGGGGCAGGCGGAAUUCCUGGUGUAGCGGUGAAAUGCGUAGAUAUCAGGAGGAACACCGGUGGCGAAGGCGGCCUGCUGGACUGCGACUGACGUUGAGGCCCGAAAGCGUGGGGAGCGAACAGGAUUAGAUACCCCGGUA